CCCUUAGAUGUUCUGGGCCGCACGCGCGCUACACUGAUGCAUUCAACGAGCCUAUCCUUGACCGACAGGUCCGGGUAAUCUUUGAAUCUGCAUCGUGACGGGGAUAGAUUAUUGCAAUUAUUAAUCUUCAACGAGGAAUGCCUAGUAGGCGCAAGUCAUCAGCUUGCGUCGAUUACGUCCCUGCCCUUUGCACACACCGCCCGUCGCUCCUACCGAUUGGGUGUGCUGGUGAAAUGUUCGGAUCGGCCGUUUGUCGCGGUUUCCGCGGCUCGUGGCUGAGAAGUUCAUUAAACCCUCCCACCUAGAGGAAGGAGAAGUCGUAACA
rnacentral:rRNA from 1 species